CACGUAGGGCGCAAGCGUUGUCCGGAAUUAUUGGGCGUAAAGAGCUCGUAGGCGGUCUGUUACGUCUGCUGUGAAAACCCUGGGCUUAACCCUGGGCUUGCAGUGGAUACGGGCAGACUAGAGGCAGGUAGGGGAGAAUGGAAUUCCCGGUGUAGCGGUGAAAUGCGCAGAUAUCGGGAGGAACACCGGUGGCGAAGGCGGUUCUCUGGGCCUGACCUGACGCUGAGGUGCGAAAGCGUGGGGAGCAAACAGG
rnacentral:rRNA from 1 species